rnacentral:misc_RNA from 1 species
AUCGUGUUGACCUAACUCCAGAUACUAUCAUAUAGAAUCAAAUGCAGAAGCAGAAGGAACGCGAUCAUGCUGAAUUAUUUGCUUGGAAAUAAGGAGUGGAAUUUAGUUUCACUGGGAUUAGAUAGGAGUUUCAUUAUGUAAAAUCAUUAGUCAAUUAGGUUUGAUUUCUUUAACUUUUUGAAAUUCCUUUCCCUCAAGUUAGUUGAUGGUAGAUGUAAAAGAAGCCAAACUGUAUGGUUCCA